rnacentral:rRNA from 1 species
AGGUAGCAAUACUGGGUGGCGACCGGCGGAUGGGUGCGUAACGCGUAUGCAACCUACCAUUGAUUGGGGCAUAGCCCGAAGAAAUUCGGAUUAAUACUCCAUAAUAUUCAUCAAAGGCAUCUUUUAUGAAUUAAAGCUUUUGCGAUCAAUGAUGGGCAUGCGUGACAUUAGUUAGUUGGUGAGGUAACGGCUCACCAAAACGAUGAUGUCUAGGGGUUCUGAGAGGAUUAUCCCCCACACUGGUACUGAGACACGGACCAGACUCC